UAGUGUGCUUCUGUUUUCUCUUUUUGCUGUGUGUUGGAAACUGUGGCUUGUGUGCGUUUUCUGUGUUUGUGUUAUAGGGCUAUGUUAGAGCAGGCGUCCCUCUGUCACCCUGUGUACGGACAGACGCACUCACGCCAGUAGGAGGGGAUUGUGGGAAGGGGGUGUAGCUCUCAGAGGGUGUGCUCAACUCCUCUCUUUUCCCUUCUUCCCGCCAUCACGGCCCUCUUCUCCUCCAGUCCUGCGGCCCAGCCCGGCGCUCACGUACAGGCUCCAGGAAAAUUACCUUUGAGGAUCUUUGAUGCGGAAGCAACGUGGAUGCUGUCCUUGGGGCUGAGGUAGUAGAUUGAAUAGUUGUGGGGUUGUGUAACCGCUUUUUGAGAUAACUAUACAAUCUACUGUCUUUCCCAAGGAGACAGCUGAGUCAGCCAUUCGCCGACUGUCUCCUCCAGAUGGGCAGCCCCGCUCCCAAUCAAUACGUACGGAUGGAUUUGUCAGCAUAAUAUGAUGCGUUGUUUUCUUUGUGCUUUGACAGGUUAAUUAGGUUUAAUGUUCCCGAAUAGGACGUGGACGUGUGGUGUGUUUGAUCCGGGCUCUGUCAGGGUGAGGUAGUAGGUUGUAUAGUUUGGUGGGUGGGAUAGCACCCUGCUCAGGUGAUAACUAUACAGUCUAUUGCCUUCCCUGAGGAGUCCACUGAACAUGAUUCAUCAACACACUCUCAUUUUAGUAUCGCAUUUAUUCGUAGAUAACAGGAAGAAAGAGCAAGUUAAAUGAGCAGCACAAAUAUACACAUGAAAUGAUUGAGGCAGUAAAAUGACUGAUUUAUGUACAUCUGAUUAAAGUCUUACUUAAAUGGGUUAUCCAAUAAUCAGUGAAUGUGAUAGUGUUUGUCACCAACACUGAUGGUGUGAUAGUUUGUGUACAACAGUAGCUAGUGAGCCUGUUAGUCUACAGCACCCUCUAGUGAAAACUGAUGGGAUAGCUUUGAUACAAAUAAAUUCAGUGGACAAGCAGGCACUGAUUGUAAGAGAAUGCAUUUUUUUCUAACAAAACAUGACACAAAUUCAAACACUGUGGGGCUGCCUGUAGUGUCCCAGUUGUUCAUGUGAAAUAAAGUCUCAAAUGUU